rnacentral:rRNA from 1 species
CCUACGGGGUGCAGCAGUGAGGAAUAUUGGUCAAUGGGCGAGAGCCUGAACCAGCCAAGUCGCGUGAGGGAGUACUGCCCUAUGGGUUGUAAACCUCUUUUGUCGGGGAGCAAAAGCCGGACGUGUCCGGCUGUGAGAGUACCCGAAGAAAAAGCAUCGGCUAACUCCGUGCCAGCAGCCGCGGUAAUACGGAGGAUGCGAGCGGUAUCCGGAUUUAUUGGGUUUAAAGGGUGCGCAGGCGGAUUUUUAAGUCAGCGGUAAAAUCGUGGGGCUCAACCCCAUCCAGCCGUUGAAACUGGGGAUCUAGAGUGUGCGAGAGGUAUGCGGAAUGCGUGGUGUAGCGGUGAAAUGCAUAGAUAUCACGCAGAACCCCGAUUGCGAAGGCAGCAUACCGGUGCACAACUGACGCUCAGGCACGAAAGCGUGGGUAUCGAACAGGAUUAGAUACCCUGGUAGUC